ensembl:snRNA U6 U6 spliceosomal RNA
UUGCUCACUUCAGCAGCACAUAUACUGUAAUUGGAACCUUACAGAGAAGAUAGCAUGGCCACUGUGCUAGGAUGGCAUGCAAAGUUGUGAAAUGUUCCAUAUAUUU